rnacentral:tRNA from 7 species
GCCCCCUUAGCUCAGGGGAUAGAGCAACGGCCUCCGGAGCCGUGUGCGCAGGUUCGAAUCCUGCAGGGGGCACCU